GUGACAGCACUAGAACAGUAACUACAACAGGCCAAGAUCUGUGCCCUUCUACCAGGAGCUCACGUGGCAGCUUUGAAUAGUCCUCUUCUGGAAGGUUACAGAUGUUGAAUUGUACUGGAUCCUGACACAGCAGUUGUAACUGAGACAGCUCCUGAGUAAAACACAAAAGGCCCACCAAACUACAGUGCACUUUUAGACACGGUUUCUAUGGAGAAAGAACAGUCUGGUUGCUUGGAAGGGUCAAGUUCCCAGGAUAUAUUCCAAUUGCCCAGAUUUCCUCUAAACCAUCUCUGGAUCCAGUGAGUGAAGUCCAGAUGCAUCCCACUCGUACAUCUGAGGCAAGAGGACGACUUCAAGGGUCCUUCCCCAGGAACCACCCACCAUGUUUGUUGAGAUGAGUCUCUCACUGGCCAGUGAACAAGAAGAAUCUACCUAAUCGGCGUGCCCAGCACCAGGAUCACAAGUACCAGCUGCUAGGCUCAGUUUAUCACACGGGUUGUGGGGAUCCAACUGUGGUCCUCAUGCUUGCGCACCAAGUAUAUUACCAACUGGGCUAUUGCUUGACCCUGAGACUCUGUUUUUUUUUUUUUUUUUUUAACUGAGAAUUGUGUUUCCUGUAAAAGCUUACACACAACACAAGCAAGGUCCAGGGAACCACGGGGCUUUGCUGAAGGAUGCAGGAUGAGCAUAAAGAACGGCAAUCAUGUUUGGAAACCUGGGCCGCUCUGAUUUCCGGCCCACUACCCACUGCACUGGACAGGUGGCUUGCCUUGUUUCGCGCGUCUCCUCCUUGAGAGAGUGUGAGUGAUGCUGUAAGAGAAAGAAAUGCCAGGUGGAAAAAUUGACAAGUCAGACAUUACACAGCCACUUAAUUUUUAUCUUGUAAUUUUCACAAUCUGAGCAACCAAGUAGAAUCCAUAAAGAAGACACUAAAAUGUGGCCUAAUAAAAUUCAUCUGACCGGGGAU